rnacentral:rRNA from 1 species
CCUACGGGCGGCAGCAGUGGGGAAUAUUGGACAAUGGGGGGAACCCUGAUCCAGCCAUGCCGCGUGUGUGAAGAAGGCCCUCGGGUUGUAAAGCACUUUCAGUGAGGAAGAACGCCUGGUGGUUAAUACCCAUCAGGAAAGACAUCACUCACAGAAGAAGCACCGGCUAACUCCGUGCCAGCAGCCGCGGUAAUACGGAGGGUGCGAGCGUUAAUCGGAAUUACUGGGCGUAAAGCGCGCGUAGGUGGCUUGAUAAGCCGGUUGUGAAAGCCCCGGGCUCAACCUGGGAACGGCAUCCGGAACUGUCAAGCUAGAGUGCAGGAGAGGAAGGUAGAAUUCCCGGUGUAGCGGUGAAACGCGUAGAGAUCGGGAGGAAUACCAGUGGCGAAGGCGGCCUUCUGGACUGACACUGACACUGAGGUGCGAAAGCGUGGGUAGCAAACAGGAUUAGAUACCCGAGUAGUC